AACGAACGCUGGCGGCAGGCUUAACACAUGCAAGUCGAACGCAUCGCAAGAUGAGUGGCAGACGGGUGAGUAACGCGUGGGAAUCUACCCAGUUCUACGGAACAACAGUUGGAAACGACUGCUAAUACCGUAUACGCCCUACGGGGGAAAGAUUUAUCGGAAUUGGAUGAGCCCGCGUAAGAUUAGCUAGUUGGUGGGGUAAUGGCAUACCAAGGCGACGAUCUUUAGCUGGUCUGAGAGGAUGAUCAGCCACACUGGGACUGAGACACGGCCCAGACUCCUACGGGAGGCAGCAGUGGGGAAUAUUGGACAAUGGGCGCAAGCCUGAUCCAGCCAUGCCGCGUGAGUGAUGAAGGCCUUAGGGUUGUAAAGCUCUUUCACCGAUGAAGAUAAUGACGGUAGUCGGAGAAGAAGCCCCGGCUAACUUCGUGCCAGCCGCCGCUGUAAUAC
rnacentral:rRNA from 1 species